UACAGAGGGUGCGAGCGUUGUCCGGAAUCACUGGGCGUAAAGGGUGAGUAGGUGGCUGGGUAAGCGUGUGGUGAAAGUCCGGGGCUCAACCCCGGAUCUGCCGUGCGAACUGCCUAGCUCGAGCAAUGUAGAGGCAGGUGGAAUUUCGGGUGUAGCGGUGGAAUGCGUAGAUAUCCGAAAGAACACCAGUGGCGAAGGCGGCCUGCUGGGCAUUUGCUGACACUGAAUCACGACAGCGUGGGGAGCAAAC
rnacentral:rRNA from 1 species